GCCCAGAUAGCUCAGUUGGUAGAGCAAAGGAUUGAAAAUCCUUGUGUCGAUGGUUCAAAUCCGUCUUUGGGCA
rnacentral:tRNA from 2 species